GAAAGAUUGUCCGAUGUACAAUUUAAAGAAACAAGCAGUAACAACAAGGCUUGUGUUAAAUGUCUUGCAGAGAGUGUGGGCGCCUGUCUGUGGGCUAUGUUGAUGCCGAAUGCUUCCAAGAGACAGCAGUCAAACUGUCCGCCACCUCUGGUCAUAGAAGCGACGCAGGACUCUCUUUCUUUGGUGGCACUGGCACCUGAAGAGCCGAGUGAACGCCCUCUGGAACUCUUUGCUGGAGCAGGGGUAGAUCAUGGGGUUGAUGCAGCUGUUGAAGUAGCCCAGCCAGAAGAUCACCUUAAACACAGUUUCGGAUGGCUUCAGUGCUGGGAAGAAGGCACCUAGAAGGAGAUGGAGCCAUAUGGAAGAUAUUUGUGCUGUCUCCCUGGGCUUGGAUUUAACACAGCUGUUGACCCUGGACACAGACGCAACAUGUCUCAGCGCUAAUGUCAAGUCUGCCCUGCCUGGGCCCACAAGUCCAUUUUCAUUUCACUUCAACUGUGGAACUCUACAAAAUGGCUCGCAUGUGAUUUUCAAAGUAAUGGUUUCUUGCUGUUUUGACAUCAGCUACCAACGGCAUACUGUGCGCUUGAUUGUACUAUUUACUCAGA